GCUGAGUCAGAAUCACUCCGGUGUUUUCUGUACACACAAUUGAGAGGUAUUUGUUUUUCGGGGAUUAAUUAUUUUAAUUCAUUUGUUAAAUUCUUGAUUUAAGAUAGAAACGCACGUUUCUGGAGCUCUGUUGGAAGUAAGGCUUUUGUCUUAUUCUCUAGCUUUUUUCCAAAAGAAAGAAGUUAGAUGGAGCGGCUAAUUUCCGUUAGUCUCAACUCUAUUCAUUAUCUCUAGGGACCUCUGCUCUUUUGACCUAGUUUAAAGACAUUGUCAGGUGGGGAGUUUGGCUGGGGCGGCACAUCUGUUAAAAAAUAACGCAGGUCCUAAGAUAAGCUCAAUGAGAACAGAAAUCUCAUGUAGAACAUAAGGGUAAAAGCUUAUUUGAUUUUGAUUUUCAGUACAAAUACAAACUGUGAAAGCAUGGC
rnacentral:rRNA from 1 species